UGCGGCAGUAUUACGUUGAAACACCAAUUCCUGUACGAUCACUGAAGUUAAGCCAAGUCAAGCUUGGUCAGUACCUAGAUGGGUGACCGCUUGAGAAUACCACGUGCUGUAAG